AGCCGGGUCCCGUGCAACGAAGGAUUGUGAACCCCGCCAGGUCCGGAAGGAAGCAACGGCAGCAAUAACCUACGUGUGCUGCGGAUAAACCUGGCUAUC
rnacentral:SRP_RNA from 1 species